CUCAGUUCUUAAUAACUGCAAAUUAGUUCUUAAUAAUUUUUAUUCACUCCUUCUCCAUAUGUACUCAGGUUCUGUAGUAAAUAGUGCCAAUGUAGUUUGUAACAUCGAUCAUCACCAAAAUGGUGCACUGUAUAUUUUAAAUACAUAACUAGCAGUAGAUCUACAUCUAUCCAAAUCACCACCGUGAUCAGAAUUAAUAAAACCAUUUUGUUGACAUGUAUCUCCACCAAAGCUCAAACACGUGUCAACGGUAUACGAAUUGUUUAGGUCAAACAGUAUCCAUUUCUUUUUUCAAGUUGCAAUUGAUGAAUGAAAUGGAUAGAAACUAUACUUGAUAGGUAAUUAGGUUUACGACAGGUUCUUGAGAUUGUGUGUUUAUGACAGGUUCUUGAGAUUUUGAGUCAUGUGAACAAGAGUGAAGCUUCAGUUUGAUAUUGGUUUGCCUUUGAUGGAGUUGAGGAAAUUGUAUUCUAAACCUGGUGCUGCUCCGAUAAUAAGGAAUUUCAUUCAUUUUAGGUACUCCAAGUUACAUGACAAACAGAGAACACGAAUAAAAUGGAGGAGGGUGAAAAGGAUCAUGAUGAAAUGGAGGAGCGUGAAGAGGAUGAUGAGCAUGCUGGUGGUUUUUUAAUCUUACCGUUAUAGCCCUGAGAACACAAAUAGUGCUCCUGUGAGGUAUAAAUGAAUCGUCCACCAGCACGAAUUAAUGUUGUCGUUAUAAUCAGAUUCCGUUGACUUGGAGGUUUGCUAAUUACUCGUGGUGUAGCUCUAUCAUUUCUUUAAUGUUCCCGAUUCUGGUAUGUUUGCAGAGAUGGAGCUUGACAUUGCAGUUGUUUUUACCGCACCCUAGUUACCGGGUAGAUACAUAUUAUACUGGAGGAUGCAUCUCUCUCGGGACAUAAAUUUGGCCAACGAGUUUGGGUCCUUAUACAGAUGAUCAUGAGUCUGGUGCAGCAGGUCUGGUAUGGACUUGUGUGGAUAUUAGAUGAUGCCAUGGCUGGACUGUUUUAUUAUGCAUGUAGCUUGAUGUAGGCCUAGUACAUGUUUAUGGCUGCUCAUGUGGUUGAAAGCCCGAUUCUCAUGUAUGGUGUAUCCGUUCCCUCUAUUCUUCUUCUCUGAUCCACUUUCGUAGACAUAUCUUGAAUUUGCACUGUAAGAUUGUAUUUCUGUUAUGAACUUAUGGAUCUUUCAUUCAUUUGUUUUUACUUUUCUGACAUUUUCAUGUUCAUGACCUGAUUUUUCAUGUUCAUUUUCUUUGUUCAUGACCCGUUCUGUUUUGCUGCUGUUUCCUAUGUCUUUUUUUGCAUUUCUAAACCGAAACUUGUACUGGUGAACAUGGUGUUGCAGAAACUAAAGAUGUUCAGCAUAGUGACUUUGAUUUGAAAAUUGCAUGUUUCAUUUGUAAUUAUAAAGAAACUAAAGAUUUUCAAUGAUAGUCAUAUAAUUAUAAUUUCAAUAUUUGUAAAUUGACAAGAUUUUCAUAAUGUAUUGAUAACUGUAUGUCCUGUGAUUAUGUAUUGAUCCAGCACUUCCUACCAGGUAAGUCAAUGUGACAGUGAUUAAUGGCUUUUGCAUUCCCUUAUAAUUUAUUUGUAUUCAUAACGCAUCGCUAACACUUGAGUUCAGUUCUGUCGACGUGAAUUCCACCUUAGAUCUUGCAGAAGAAACUCCAAAUAAAACCACAAGAACCGUAGUUUUUACGCCUACAGUUAAUCUGGAUUUUGUAAGUGAUGAUGAUGAUGAUUGAUGACAACUCAGACUACGACCCUUUCUUAGGCCUAGUACGAUGAAUCUGGUCAUUCAAUUGUACACAAGAAAUGCUUUUAGAUUGUCGCAAAGUGUAAUAAAGAGAAGUUCCUGGAUAUCUGCGAUGUGUUUGACAUACAAGUUGCAAAGGCAAAUACAAGAAAGGAAGAUAUUAUUGCAAAGCUAAUAAACUUUUUGGUUGCCCCUCAUGUGUCAAGGACUGUAUGCUUGAAGAACAAGAAAAGGUUUAUAAUACUUAACCUUUUCUUUUCAACCUUUUCCAACUAGCGUGUUAUUUUACUCUGCUUUGACACAAGACGAGUGUUUCUGGUGCAACUAUUCAUAUUUAUGCUUUUAUGCAUAGCAAUAUAGGAUGACCAUUGGUUAUUAUUAAUUUUGUGGCCAUCCGAUGGAUGACAUCCAUUUCCGUCCGGUUGUGAGAAUGGGUACUUCGGAUUUCGGAUGUUUCGGAUGGCGGGUUAAUCGGUUGGGUAGCAGCGGUUUACACUAUUAACACAUAUUUUUCUUGGACCAUAAAAUCGACAUUCUAGAACAAGAAAUAUCAAUGUUUAGCCAUUACACAGAAAAUAAAGAAACAUUUAACAAAGAAGAAGAAAUAAACAUUUAGAAAUACAAAAAUCUGAGUUGAAGUGGAACAGAGUAGAGUUUGGAGGUGACUCUGAUUUUUCAUAAUCCAUUGUCAUAGUGCAUCAUGUUGUGCAUGAUAGCUUAUUCAACUGAGUUUAAGGAUUAGAGAUUGAUAUUGAUUUAUCACUUCCAAACUUUGAAUGCAGCCCAUGAUAUUUAAAACUCUUAAUAUUCCUUCAACCUUCUCCGAUCUAGUAUUUUGAAUGGAUGAAUAUAAAGGAGUUAGAAAGAAAAUUGGAUAAAUAGAAAGGAGUUAGAAAGAAAAGUCGUAAUGAGUUCUAUUAAAAUAGAAUAAAAAAAAACAUAAAUAAUGGCAAACAAACUACUAUUCAUAAAAGAAGACUGCUUUGUGUGGUUGUAAAAAGCAUCGAGAAUUGAAAUUGAGAUAGAUGUAGUCUACAAGCUUUAUGAAUUCUGAAAUAAUGCAGUAGCAUAGCAUAUUGUAAUGGUAUUUAACUGAUAAACUCAGUGUGGGCGGGUGUGGAUUUCGUUAUGGUUGAAAAUUUCAAACCGCAGCCGUCUGAUUCAAUCCACACGAAAUUGGUUUUCUUAAUAUAUUAAACCGUAUACCCAAUCCGACCCACCCGUUAGCAGACACUUUUAUUCGAAUUAUUCGGUUUCGGGUGGAUCCGGAUUUUUUGUCCACCCCUAUCUUGCAGGAGAAGCUUUUGGAAGUCAGGCCGGACAAGAUUGUUCCAUUAUAGUAAAAUUGUAGAAAGUAAUGUGAUUUUUGUUUCUGAACUACAAUUUGCCUUUUUGUCGGGGUGGCUAUAAAGAAGGAAAAGAAGAUAUGGAACCUGGAUUAUGACAUGGAGGACUGGUAAUUAUUCGAUCAGUUGUUUAUGCACUCAAAGUAUUAAGCACUCAUUAAUCUCAAAAUUACAAUUACUCAUUCUUGAGAAGGGCUUCUCCAAUUACUUUCAAUUAUGGGUGCGGCUUCAUAAUCACUUUCAUCACAGUUGCACUUUGAAUGAAAAUCUUCUUGAUCUCCUCACCAUCUUCAGCCGUCCCUUUCUUGCCUUUCAUCCAAUUUUGAGUUAACAAAAAGAGCUUCUUAAUGUUAUUCCGAACCUCAUCAUCGCCCUCUUGAGAUUCUUAAAAUGUUGAAUCCCAAGAGGGCGUUGAUGAGGUUCAGAGUAAUAUUAAGAAGUUUUUUUGCUAACUCAAAAUUGGAUAAAAGGCAAGAAGGGGACUGCUGAAAAUGGUGAGGAGAUCAAGAAGAUCCUCUUUUAAAAUGCAUUGUGAUGAAAGUGAUUAUCAAGCAGCACUCAGAAUUGAAAGCAAUUGGAGAAGCCCUUCUCAAGAAUGAGUAAUUGUAAUUUGGAGAUUAAUGAGUGCUUAAUACUUUGUUGAUGCACUCUUAAUAAUUGCAACUAGUAUAUGUAAAGACCCUCAAUGGCUAGUAUACAAUCAAGCAUUUAUUGGUUUGCCACUACCUUAUAGGUUUUUAGUUGAGCAUAUAUAGUAUAAUAUAGGUUUUCAGUGCAAGCUAGUCUAUAUAGUAUACUAUAAAACUCACAUUUCUCUACUUUUUAAUGAUUUUGAAAUUUAUUAGGUACAUUAGGUGUUUUUGGUUGAAUGUAGAUACUGGUUAAUUAAAUCCCAAUGCAAGGAUACUUACCCUUCUUUACUCAUAUAGUUUUUUAGUGGAUAUUUUUUAAGGGAAUUAAUUUGAAUAUUUGUUAGAUGUUUUGAAGGUUGAAUGCAAGGGGGAAAGAAAUAACUAAGGGAGACUACGAAGUCCUAAAGUUAUCAUACAAUAUGGCCCUAAAGUUUGGAUAGGGGGAGACUAAUCAAAAACCCUAAUGUUGACAUGGAUAACCAUCCUAAUGUCCAAUGACUUACCUUGAACAAGGUAAGAUCAAAACCCUAAGGGAACAUGGCAUAAGCAAAAGAAGAGCUAAACACCUCAGAGGCAUGAGAAAAUAUGAGAUAACCAUCUCAAGAGAAAAUAAAUACAAACAAGAAGUAACUACUUCAAGAAUAUUAGAUAACCAUCUCAAAAGAAAUAAAUACACAAACAUGAAAGUAGCCACUUUCAUAGGUAUGAGAUAACCAUCUCAAAAGAAAGAGUACACAAACACACAUACAAGAAAGUAACCACUUUCAAAAGAAAAUGAGAUAACCAUCUCAAAAAGAAAGAGAAACUACUUGAACAAGUAGAGAAGAUAAAGAAGUAACUUCUUAAAGAUAAACAAAACUCACAACUUAAACAAAUAAAGAGAAAAAUGGUUUAAGAAACAAUUUAGGUCAAGACUUGAUAGGAGAAUGUAACUUAUAGAAUAAGUUAUCUCAAUAUCAAAACUCAAUCACAUGAGUAGUCAUAGACCAUAGGCAACAGAAAUGUGAUGUCAUACCAUUGAGGAUUCAUGCAUCCAUAACUAAAUAAAGUAGAAAAAUGACCUCUAAGGAUCAAAAUAAAACAAACGGGGCAGUAGCAAAGUCAUCCCAUAUGUAUCAAUCAUGGGAUACCUCUAAAUAGAGGAAUUAGUCCUCAUGACACAAGACUAGCUAGUCAAAAUAUCCAAACAAGCUCUAAGAGGAGUGAACACUUCAAACAAAAGUUUAAAACAAUGCUAACUUAACUAAGCAAACAACACAAACAUAUGCAAUUAAGUGACCACCUAAACAAGCACAAAGUAUAAGGAAAGAUGGUUACCACACAUCAAAACCAAAGCAAAUACGAAAGGCGACACACCAAUCAUAGUAUCAUCCAAUCAAAUGGGAUCAUGUACUCAAGGUGAAAGAAGAAAGUGAGAUGAGAAGAGGAAGUGAGAUUAAGAUUUAAACAUAAGAAAUUGGAUCUCAAACCCCAAAGAGUUUACAUAUAAACAAACUCAAAGAAAGAAAUGAAGUCAAGCGAUUCUCAAGUCACCAAAGGACUAUCCUUGAACAUAUCAUUCUUCAUUUAACAUCCACACACAUACAUGAGAUGUAAAGACUUACUCAAGAUAUAAAGAGAAAGCUUACGUAACCAUGCAAGUAUUAAAGACGGAAAAGCAAACAAUUAGAUGAAUCAAACAUUCAAACAAUGCCUACAACGGUAGGACUUUCAGAUCAAACAUUGCCUAUAACAAUAGGACUUAGAAUCAAACAUUCAAGAGAAAGAAGCUUCAAACACGAAUCAAGCUAAAUGCAACAACCCAUAUACAUCAAACAUAUUGUUUGGCCAACUAUAUGCUUCUAAACAUUGCAACUCUGACAUAAUGCAAAUUAAAGCUCAAGGAAGCUUACCUUCAAAGUGGAAAAUAAAUUCACUAUGCCUCUGAAAAUAAUUGAGAAACCCAUAGAACUUGUUGGGAGCAUAUAAGCAAGCCAGCAUAAUUGGAUGAGAAUUAAAGCUUCGAUGAAAUAGGAAAUCCAAGUCCAUGUGCAAUCCAAGUUAAGGAGUUCAAAUCAAGUCCUCAAGAGAUAAUCCUCAAAAAUCAAUCCAAUGGUCGCAAAUAAACAAGUGAAUUUGAAAAGAUUAGUAACAAUGAUUAACCAUGAAAAGGAAAAUAGGGACUAUACACUAAUCCCAGUUAAAUUACAAAGGAAAAAUUCUAAAAUUAAAUCUAAAUACCAUGUAUUUUUAUGAACAAAAAUAUAGAAAAAAAAAAGUCUAAUUCUAAACAAAAAUUAAAUGUGAGAUCAGGGGGUGUAUGCUAAAACGGGUAUAAAACCAAAUAAUUUCGCAGGCCCAAAGCUGCAGGCCAGCAGAGUUAUUAUUCCAAUAAAAGAAACAAGGGGGUGCAUCCUGGGUCUGGGUGUGUGAAGCAGAAUUCGUGCUAGGCCCAAUAUAUGAGCCGAGUGGGGGUGUGGAGUAGCAAUAUCGUGUGAGGCCCAAUAGAUAUUUCUAAUCCAAUCCAUUAAUCAGACUUAAUCAAAUUAAUUAACCAAAUCAAAUACCAAUCAAAUCAUAAAUUUACAAUUAAAUAAAAUAUUAUAUUAAAAAAAUAAAUAAAUAAAAGGAAUGAGAAAAGGCUUUAGGGUUGUUAUUCAGAUUAGCGUGAAAAUCUUCUUCUUCUUUCAAACGUGGAGGCUCUGUCUCCUCCAUCAUCUCCGAUUCAAAUCAACGGCGGACCUUCCUCUUCCGAUCGACCUUCUCAUCUCACUCCGAUGGCCUCUCUUCUUUCUCUAAUUUUGUCUCCUUCGGUUUCUCUCGAUCUAAGUUAUGGUUUUGAUUAGGGUUUUGAUUUCUCUGUGUUUGAUGUUUGAUUUUCUGGGUAAUGAACAAUGAACAACUAUCUGGUCUUUGGAAAGAUGAUGAACAAUAGUGUUUUAGGGUUUUGGUUCUGCGGCUGGGUUUUGGUGAACGUGAACAGUGAUAUCUGAUUCCUUGGGAAUUAUGCAUUCAAUGCUUAUAUACUGCAGUAUUAGGGUUUUCUCUCUAAUUUGUGUUAACAGGCUGAGAUAUUCUGUAUUUGGGCUUAAGCCAAUUCUGAUAUGUUGAGUUGUGAAACUGUGAUAUGAAUCUUUUACUGUGAUGAAAAUUCUGAGUUUA